rnacentral:rRNA from 1 species
CGAGGAUUCCCCUAGUAACGGCGAGUGAACGGGGAAAAGCCCAGCGCUGAAUCCUUCGGCCACUGGUCGCUUGGAAUUGUAGCGUAUAGGUGCGGCCGUCCGGCUGUUUCGCUUACCCAAAGUCCCCUUGAGCGGGGCCAUUGUCCAAAGAAGGUGCUAGACCUGUACGGGUGGUGAGAUGGUCGGUUGGUUGCUCCUUGGAGUCGGGUUGCCUGGGAUCGCAGCCCAAAGUUGGUGGUAGACCUCAUCUAAGGCUAAAUAUGGCCACGAAACCGAUAGCAAACAAGUACCGUGAGGGAAAGUUGCAAAGAACUUUGAAGAGAGAGUUCAAGAGGGCGUGAAACCGCUGAGAUUGAAACGGAUAGAGUUGACGGAACUCGGCUGCAUUCAUUCGGUCGGCCUAGCGGCCCGAUGGGACUGACUUCCUCGAUGAGGGCAGUUUUGUCGGUAGCUGUUGGGUGCUUGAUCGGUGUAUUUGCGGCUGGUAUGCGCUGAGAGCCUUGUGGACGAAUGUUGAAGGGCGCGUAGUGGACCAUUCCUUACGGGUGUGGAACCCUCCGUGCUUUGAGGCAUGUUGGCCAUGAGGCUUAAAAAUUUGCGUCUCCGCUAUGGUGCGUCGGCCUUGUUGAGCUGUUGCUGCCGUGGUAUGGUCGCGUGCGACCUGCUGUAGUUGGCGAUGGCGUGACAGGGUGCGGACGCGUCGAGACGUCCCUCUCGGUGUGAACGUUGACCACCUAUCCG